rnacentral:rRNA from 1 species
UACAGAGGUCUCAAGCGUUGUUCGGAUUUAUUGGGCGUAAAGGGUGCGUAGGCGGCGCGGUAAGUCGGAUGUGAAAUCUCGGAGCUUAACUUCGAAACUGCAUUCGAUACUGACGAGCUAGAGUACUGGAGGGGAAAGCGGAAUUCCUGGUGUAGCGGUGAAAUGCGUAGAUAUCAGGAGGAACACCGGUGGCGAAGGCGGCUUUCUGGACAGUAACUGACGCUGAGGCGCGAAAGCUAGGGGAGCAAACAGG